UGCAGUCGAGCGGUAGAGAGAAGCUUGCUUCUCUUGAGAGCGGCGGACGGGUGAGUAAUGCCUAGGAAUCUGCCUGGUAGUGGGGGAUAACGUCCGGAAACGGACGCUAAUACCGCAUACGUCCUACGGGAGAAAGCAGGGGACCUUCGGGCCUUGCGCUAUCAGAUGAGCCUAGGUCGGAUUAGCUAGUUGGUGAGGUAAUGGCUCACCAAGGCGACGAUCCGUAACUGGUCUGAGAGGAUGAUCAGUCACACUGGAACUGAGACACGGUCCAGACUCCUACGGGAGGCAGCAGUGGGGAAUAUUGCACAAUGGGCGAAAGCCUGAUCCAGCCAUGCCGCGUGUGUGAAGAAGGUCUUCGGAUUGUAAAGCACUUUAAGUUGGGAGGAAGGGCAUUAACCUAAUACGUUAGUGUUUUGACGUUACCGACAGAAUAAGCACCGGCUAACUCUGUGCCAGCAGCCGCGGUAAUACAGAGGGUGCAAGCGUUAAUCGGAAUUACUGGGCGUAAAGCGCGCGUAGGUGGUUUGUUAAGUUGGAUGUGAAAGCCCCGGGCUCAACCUGGGAACUGCAUUCAAAACUGACAAGCUAGAGUAUGGUACAGGGUGGUGGAAUUUCCUGUGUAGCGGUGAAAUGCGUAGAUNUAGGAAGGAACACCAGUGGCGAAGGCGACCACCUGGACUGAUACUGACACUGAGGUGCGAAGCGUGAGGAGCAACA
rnacentral:rRNA from 1 species